rnacentral:rRNA from 1 species
GACGAACGCUGGCGGCGUGCCUAAUACAUGCAAGUCGAACGAGUGGCGGACGGUUGAGUAAUAUAUCGGAACGGGCGCAGGAGAGGGGGAGAAAUACUCGAAAGAGUGGCUAAUACCGCAUACGAGUGGAGCGGCCGUUAUCGGAUUAGCUAGUGGGUGGGGUAAAGGCUCACCAAGGCAACGAUCCGUAGCUGGUUUGAGAGGACGACCAGCCACACUGGGACUGAGACACGGCCCAGACUCCUACGGGAGGCAGCAGUGGGGAAUUUUGGACAAUGGGCGAAAGCCUGAUCCAGCCAUCCCGCGUGUAUGAGAAGGCCUUCGGGUUGUAAAGUACUUUUGGCAGAGAAGCGGUGUCUGCAGAAUAAGCACCGGCUAACUCCGUGCCAGCAGCCGCGGUAAUUC